rnacentral:rRNA from 1 species
AGGUUAAGCUAGAAAGAGCACACGGAGGAUGCCUAGGCACUAGGAGCCGAAGAAGGACGUGGCGAACGACGAAAUGCCUCGGGGAGCCGUAAGCAGGCUU